CUAAGGGGAGUUAACGCGCCGCUGCAGCUCAUUGUCAAAGCCAGCUUCAGGCAGAGAACGAAGGAGGGAGCGACUUCGGGGCUGGGUUAAUGUUUUCCCGCAGGCAAGUGGUAGCAGAUGUCAAGGGUUAAGGACAAUUUAGGAGGUAAGAAUUUCCAGGCUGCACUUGUGUCGGGUGCCUCGGGCGAUGAGCCCAGGAGCCCGCUCUCCACGCAGUGACGCUUCCCAAGCUGGUGCUUUAGACCCCUCACUUGCCUGGCUGCUCUGAGGCCCCGUCCCUGAUGGCUUCUGACAAUUUGGUGUCCUUUGUAAAGACGACCUCAGAUCCUAUCAGCUUCAGUUUCACAAAACCUGGAUCCCCUGCCUCUGUGGUAUGUCUGGACUGCCCUGGGCAGGCAGGGCCUGGCUCUGAGAUGAAGAUUUCUCAGCACUGAAGGACCGCCUGCCUUUGAGCUGUGAAACUAGUCUAUCCUCACAUAGACACCAGUAAACUGAGGCUUGAGAGGCUCAAGGACACCCCGGAGGCCACGAAGGGUAGAACUCACUCCCCUGCUUCCAUCCCUGUCUUGCAUUCACUGCUGUGGCUCGGAGAAGCAGAGGGGUCUUGCUUUGGAGUUGUGUGUGUGUGUGCAUAUGUACGUGUAAGGUGUGUACAUGUGUUGCACACGUGUUCAUUGCAUCUGUGCAU
rnacentral:lncRNA from 1 species